CACAAGUGCCACAGAGUCUGGACACGGAGACACAGGGCAGCCUCACUACCAGAGCCCACGCUGGCUGACUGGAAUGUCCUUGGAGAGUCUGAAGGGAGCGCUUCCUCCUGCCCCUGCUGCCACACAGGGCUGCUGAAGAAAAGAGCAGGAUGGGUAUUACAACUGGUUUAUAAGGCAGCAUUUGUGCACUGGUCAACUACAUGCCUGGCAACAAGCAUUUGGAAAAUCAGCACUACUGACCAUCCUUUGGGGAAGAUCAUCUAGAAGCCAGGAAAGGCUUUCCAUGUUUACUCUUAAGGAAGACCAUCAGCUUGCAAAACUGCCAAGACCAACCACUCUCCCAGGAAUCAUUAAGCAAUAAAAAGUCAGCCUGAUGUGGUAUCUCUGUUUGACGUGGUAAGAAAGGAGCAUUUGAGUCAACAGGAAACAGUGACACGAAAGGCUUUGCAGCAAGUGGCAGCCACAGGAGGAAAUCGCAUUGCACCACUCCUGGACUGGGAUCAGGAUGAAUAAACUCUCAGAGCAAUUGUUACUGUAAAUUAAAA